rnacentral:rRNA from 1 species
UCUUUUCUUAGCGGCGGACGGGUGAGUAACACGUGGGCAACCUGCCUUGAAGAGGGGGAUAACACCGAGAAAUCGGUGCUAAUACCGCAUAACAUACAGACACCACCUGGUGAGUGUAUCAAAGGAGAAAUCCGCUUUGAGAUGGGCCCGCGGCUGAUUAGCUAGUUGGUAAGGUAACGGCUUACCAAGGCGACGAUCAGUAGCCGACCUGAGAGGGUGACCGGCCACACUGGAACUGAGACACGGUCCAGACUCCUACGGGAGGCAGCAGUGGGGAAUAUUGCGCAAUGGGGGAAACCCUGACGCAGCAACGCCGCGUGGAGGAAGAAGGUUUUCGGAUUGUAAACUCCUGUCUUCUGGGACGAUAAUGACGGUACCAGAGGAGGAAGCCACGGCUAACUACGUGCCAGCAGCCGCGGUAAUACGUAGGUGGCGAGCGUUGUCCGGAAUUACUGGGCGUAAAGGGCGCGUAGGCGGCUCUUUAAGUCAGAUGUGAAAACCCGAGGCUUAACUUCGGGAGUGCAUUUGAAACUGAAGGGCUCGAGUGCAGGAGAGGUAAGUGGAAUUCCUAGUGUAGCGGUGAAAUGCGUAGAUAUUAGGAGGAACACCAGUGGCGAAGGCGACUUUCUGGCUCGAGACUGACGCUCAGACGCGAAAGCUAGGGUAGCAAACGGGAUUAGAGACCCCGGUAGUCCUAGCUGUAAACGAUGUAGACUUGGCGUUGGUGGAGUAAAAUCCAUCAGUGCCGCAGCAAACGCGAUAAGUCUACCGCCUGGGGACUACGGCCGCAAGGUUAAAACUCAAAGGAAUUGACGGGGCCCCGCACAAGCAGCGGAGCGUGUGGUUUAAUUCGAUGCUACACGAAGAACCUUACCAGGGUUUGACAUACAAGUGGUAGAGAAGUGAAAACGGAUCGACCCUUCGGGGAGCUUGUACAGGUGCUGCAUGGCUGUCGUCAGCUCGUGUCGUGAGAUGUUCGGUUAAGUCCGCUAACGAGCGCAACCCUCGCUGUGUGUUACAAGUGUCACACGGAACUGCCGGUCAUAAACCGGAGGAAGGUGGGGAUGACGUCAAGUCAGCAUGGCCUUUAUAUCCUGGGCUACACACACGCUACAAUGGUCAGCACAAUGGGUCGCUAAGCCGCAAGGUGGAGCCAAUCCUCAAAGUUGGCCUCAGUUCAGAUUGUAGGCUGCAACUCGCCUGCAUGAAGAUGGAGUUGCUAGUAAACGCAGGUCAGCUAUACUGCGUUGAAUACGUUCCCGG